UGCAUUUCUUGCAGUCCUGAUGCAUGGAGAAAUGCUCAACUCCUGAUGCAUGAAGAAAAGGCUUUCAUGUUUUUUUGUUUUUUUUUAAUUGUGGUAGCCCACAAAAUAUUGGGACAUAUAAAAAAAAGACAACUCUGUUCUGUAGAGUAGCUGUUGACAUUAUAGUUGCGCAAGAACUUUGUCGACUCUAGAGAACCUCGAGCCAAUCACACAUCCCCGUGACAGCGACUUUGCAUUCGGAUGUCAUCCAUAUCAACUUUCGAUGCCAGUUUCUGGGCCUACCAUGGUGACCACGGGAAACGGCUACCACAUGCAAGAAAGGCAGCAGGCACGCAAAUGACCCACUCCCGACGCGGGAAGAUAGUGACGACAAAUAACAAUACAGGACUCUUUAGAUGCCCUGUAAUUGUAAUGAGUACACUUGAAAUCCUUUAACUCUGAUCAAUUGGAGGGAAGUCUGGUGCAGAGCCACUAACCCGUGCGUGCUGCA